UACGUAGGGUGCGAGCGUUGUCCGGAAUUACUGGGCGUAAAGAGCUCGUAGGUGGUUUGUCGCGUUGUUCGUGAAAACUCACAGCUUAACUGUGGGCGUGCGGGCGAUACGGGCAGACUUGAGUACUGCAGGGGAGACUGGAAUUCCUGGUGUAGCGGUGGAAUGCGCAGAUAUCAGGAGGAACACCGGUGGCGAAGGCGGAUCUCUGGGCCUUACCUGACGCUGAGGCGCGAAAGCUAGGGGAGCAAACAGG
rnacentral:rRNA from 1 species